rnacentral:rRNA from 1 species
GAUGAACGCUGGCGGCGUGCCUAAUACAUGCAAGUCGAGCGAACAGAUAAGGAGCUUGCUCCUUUGACGUUAGCGGCGGACGGGUGAGUAACACGUGGGUAACCUACCUAUAAGACUGGGAUAACUUCGGGAAACCGGAGCUAAUACCGGAUAAUAUUUCGAACCGCAUGGUUCGAUAGUGAAAGAUGGUUUUGCUAUCACUUAUAGAUGGACCCGCGCCGUAUUAGCUAGUUGGUAAGGUAACGGCUUACCAAGGCAACGAUGCGUAGCCGACCUGAGAGGGUGAUCGGCCACACUGGAACUGAGACACGGUCCAGACUCCUACGGGAGGCAGCAGUAGGGAAUCUUCCGCAAUGGGCGAAAGCCUGACGGAGCAACGCCGCGUGAGUGAUGAAGGUCUUCGGAUCGUAAAACUCUGUUAUUAGGGAAGAACAUACGUGUAAGUAACUGUGCACGUCUUGACGGUACCUAAUCAGAAAGCCACGGCUAACUACGUG